GCCAGUUUCGGAAACAAAUGAGGCCCCCUAACCCCUGUCUUCUCGCUUUAUAUGCAUCCGUGGUCAUCAUCAACUCCAUGACGACCGGCAUUAUCGUAAUGCCUGUCAACACCACGGCUGAUGUUUACCUUGUUGGAUACUCAUCUAAUCUUACGAGCAGGACUAUAAACUGCGUAAGCUCAGGCUACGUUGACUGGGACGGCGAAUGGCUGAGACGAACGUUGAACGUGACGACGUAUAACGAUACUUAUGACGGUAGGACACGAAC